rnacentral:rRNA from 1 species
GAUGAACGCUGGCGGCGUGCUUAACACAUGCAAGUCGAACGGUGAAGCAGGAGCUUGCUCCUGUGGAUCAGUGGCGAACGGGUGAGUAACACGUGAGCAAUCUGCCCUGGACUCUGGGAUAAGCGUUGGAAACGACGUCUAAUACCGGAUACGAGGCGUGGGGGCAUCCCCAACGCCUGGAAAGAACUUCGGUCCAGGAUGAGCUCGCGGCCUAUCAGCUUGUUGGUGAGGUAACGGCUCACCAAGGCGACGACGGGUAGCCGGCCUGAGAGGGUGACCGGCCACACUGGGACUGAGACACGGCCCAGACUCCUACGGGAGGCAGCAGUGGGGAAUAUUGCACAAUGGGCGCAAGCCUGAUGCAGCAACGCCGCGUGAGGGACGACGGCCUUCGGGUUGUAAACCUCUUUUAGCAGGGAAGAAGCGAAAGUGACGGUACCUGCAGAAAAAGCACCGGCUAACUACGUGCCAGCAGCCGCAGUAACAC